UUAAGACCAGGAGCGUAUCGC
rnacentral:siRNA from 1 species